AAUUCUCAACCACACCUGGUGUGGCUUGGAUUUGGGUUGUUGUGGGCUUUUUUUUUUUGUAGUCUGCUCCCCUGAAAUUAAUUAGCGGUACCUUGGUGGAACUGUCUACAGGUGUGAUAAUUAUCUACAUCCUAGACAUCUGCUGGAAUGCUGCUUUCUAAAACCUUACUUGACAA
rnacentral:misc_RNA from 1 species